CGCGGCAGCUCUUUUCCUUCUUUCUCCACUUCCCCUACCCUCCACCGUCCGGGAGCCGCCGCCGCCGCCGCCGAGGAGUCAGGAAGUUCAAGAUGGCCGCCGCGGAGACCCAGUCGCUACGGGAGCAGCCAGAGAUAGAAGAUGCUAAUUCUGAAAAGAGUAUAAAUGAAGAAAAUGGAGAAGUAUCAGAAGACCAGUCUCAAAAUAAGCACAGUCGUCACAAAAAAAAGAAGCAUAAACACAGAAGUAAACAUAAGAAACAUAAACAUUCCUCAGAAGAAGACAAGGAUAAAAAACAUAAACAUAAGCAUAAACAUAAGAAACACAAAAGAAAAGAGGUUAUUGAUGCUUCUGAUAAAGAGGGUAUGUCUCCAGCAAAAAGAACUAAACUUGAUGAUUUAGCUUUGCUAGAAGACUUGGAAAAACAGAGAGCCUUGAUUAAGGCCGAACUUGAUAAUGAGUUAAUGGAAGGAAAGGUCCAGUCUGGUAUGGGGCUCAUUUUGCAAGGUUAUGAGUCUGGCUCUGAAGAAGAGGGGGAGAUUCAUGAAAAGGCAAGAAAUGGAAAUAGGUCUAGUACUAGAUCUUCAAGUACAAAGGGGAAACUUGAACUUGUGGACAAUAAAAUUACUACAAAAAAACGAAGUAAAAGCAGAUCCAAAGAACGGACUAGACAUAGGUCUGAUAAAAAGAAAAGUAAGGGGGGUAUUGAAAUCGUUAAAGAGAAAACAACUAGGAGCAAGUCAAAGGAGAGGAAAAAAUCUAAAAGCCCAUCCAAAAGAAGUAAGUCUCAAGAUCAAGCAAGGAAAUCAAAAUCCCCUACCCUUAGAAGGCGAUCUCAAGAGAAAAUUGGUAAGGCCAGAUCGCCUACUGAUGAUAAGGUUAAAAUUGAAGAUAAAAGUAAAUCAAAAGAUAGGAAAAAAUCCCCAAUUAUAAAUGAAAGUAGAAGUCGUGAUCGAGGUAAAAAAUCCAGAUCCCCAGUUGAUUUAAGAGGUAAAUCCAAAGACAGAAGGUCACGGUCCAAAGAGAGAAAAUCAAAACGGUCUGAAACUGAUAAAGAAAAGAAGCCAAUUAAAUCUCCCUCUAAAGAUGCUUCAUCUGGGAAAGAAAAUAGGUCACCCAGUAGAAGACCUGGUCGUAGUCCUAAAAGAAGAAGUUUGUCUCCAAAACCACGUGAUAAAUCAAGAAGAAGCAGGUCUCCACUUUUGAAUGAUAGAAGAUCUAAGCAGAGCAAAUCCCCCUCGCGGACACUGUCUCCUGGGAGAAGAGCCAAGAGCCGAUCCUUAGAAAGAAAACGACGAGAACCAGAGAGGAGACGACUUUCUUCUCCAAGAACACGACCUCGAGAUGAUAUCCUCAGUAGACGUGAAAGAUCAAAAGAUGCCAGCCCCAUCAAUAGAUGGUCUCCAACCCGAAGAAGAAGUAGAUCUCCCAUUAGAAGGAGGUCUCGUUCCCCACUCAGACGUAGCAGGUCUCCAAGAAGAAGAAGCAGAUCUCCUCGGAGAAGGGACAGAGGUCGGAGGAGCAGAUCACGCUUGCGAAGGCGGUCUCGAUCACGCGGUGGUCGUAGACGAAGGAGCAGAAGCAAAGUAAAGGAAGAUAAAUUUAAAGGAAGUCUUUCUGAAGGAAUGAAAGUUGAGCAGGAAUCUUCGUCUGAUGAUAACCUUGAAGACUUUGAUGUAGAGGAAGAAGAUGAAGAAGCCCUAAUAGAACAGAGAAGAAUCCAAAGGCAGGCAAUUGUUCAGAAAUAUAAAUACCUUGCUGAAGAUAGCAAUAUGUCUGUGCCAUCUGAACCAAGCAGCCCCCAGAGCAGUACGAGAACACGAUCACCAUCUCCAGAUGACAUUCUGGAGCGAGUAGCUGCUGAUGUUAAAGAGUAUGAACGGGAAAAUGUUGAUACAUUUGAGGCCUCAGUGAAAGCCAAGCAUAAUCUAAUGACAGUUGAACAGAAUAAUGGUUCAUCUCAGAAGAAGUUGUUGGCACCUGAUAUGUUUACAGAAUCUGAUGAUAUGUUUGCUGCAUAUUUUGAUAGUGCUCGUCUUCGGGCCGCUGGCAUUGGAAAAGAUUUCAAAGAGAAUCCCAACCUCAGAGAUAACUGGACCGAUGCAGAAGGCUAUUAUCGUGUGAACAUAGGUGAAGUCCUAGAUAAACGUUACAAUGUGUAUGGCUACACUGGGCAAGGUGUAUUCAGUAAUGUUGUACGAGCCAGAGAUAAUGCAAGAGCCAACCAAGAAGUGGCUGUAAAGAUCAUCAGAAACAAUGAGCUCAUGCAAAAGACUGGUUUAAAGGAAUUAGAGUUCUUGAAAAAACUUAAUGAUGCUGAUCCUGAUGACAAAUUUCAUUGUCUGAGACUCUUCAGGCACUUCUAUCACAAGCAGCAUCUUUGUCUCGUAUUCGAGCCUCUCAGCAUGAACUUACGAGAGGUGUUAAAAAAAUAUGGUAAAGAUGUUGGUCUUCAUAUUAAAGCUGUAAGAUCCUAUAGUCAGCAGUUGUUCCUGGCAUUGAAACUCCUUAAAAGAUGCAAUAUCCUACAUGCAGAUAUCAAGCCAGACAAUAUCCUGGUUAAUGAAUCCAAAACUAUUUUAAAGCUUUGCGAUUUUGGGUCGGCUUCACAUGUUGCGGAUAAUGACAUAACACCUUAUCUUGUCAGUAGAUUUUAUCGUGCUCCUGAAAUCAUUAUAGGUAAAAGCUAUGACUAUGGUAUAGAUAUGUGGUCUGUAGGUUGCACCUUAUACGAACUCUAUACUGGAAAAAUUUUAUUCCCUGGCAAAACCAAUAACCAUAUGCUGAAGCUUGCAAUGGAUCUCAAAGGAAAGAUGCCAAAUAAGAUGAUUCGAAAAGGUGUGUUCAAAGAUCAGCAUUUUGAUCAAAAUCUCAACUUCAUGUACAUAGAAGUUGAUAAAGUAACAGAGAGGGAGAAAGUUACUGUUAUGAGCACCAUUAAUCCAACUAAGGACCUGUUGGCUGACUUGAUUGGGUGCCAGAGACUUCCUGAAGACCAACGUAAGAAAGUACACCAGCUAAAGGACUUGUUGGACCAGAUUCUGAUGUUGGACCCAGCUAAACGAAUUAGCAUCAACCAGGCCCUACAGCAUGCCUUCAUCCAGGAAAAAAUUUAAACAAGAUGAAGAAACUCCAAGGGUUUGAGUAAAUACAAAGACUGAAGAAAUUUCACAGCAGUUUAUUAAUGUAUAUAAACUUAUAAAUAUUUCUCCAGCAAAUUUGAGGAAGCAUGAUAUAUUUGAAUUAACACCAAGGGUGAUAUUUCUUUUAGAAAUGUUAGUUAAUCUGUUUUGUGUCUUACGUGAAAUUUCACUGUAGAACUGUUUUAAAUUGCCAAGACUGCACAAAAUUACAGUGCUAAUGUAUAUGGUUGCAGUUCACAUAAAGACAAAAGCAUCUGUUAUGAAAUGAGUAGUAAUAUUGGGUGGUUGAUUUGUUCUUAGCAGACUUGGCUUCAUUUUGGUCUUGAGAUAAAAUGGCCAGCAUAAAUGCUGUUUAUAUUCACGUUUUCCUAGGUGUGUGUGUGCAGGCCACAGCAGCAUGCCCUUGGUGUAGUCAGUGCCGAAAGGGGUCUGUUCCUUCUUGAGCCUGCCUGCAGGGAUGGUCUCCUUUUAAAGCAGGUUGUGUGCAGCAUUCAGUACACUGAAGGUAAGCUAAACCAUCAACAUCUCUGGUGUUUUAAGAUGUUAUUUUAUUGGAACAACUGACAAAUGAGGGAUGUUAGCUUUGUGGCAGAAUUCCCUGCAUGUGUGAUAACUGAUCUUGUUUUAUUUUUUGGCAUUGCAACUGUGGCAUAGUUACAAUUUCUGUUUGUUCAUCACAUUUAAAAUUGGAAGAGAACGCGCUUGAUGGAUAGAGCGCCUUCAGUGUACUGUUUCUUAUUAACUUUACUUUUUUUAAAUCAACUUGCUAUAGACUUUAUAUACAUUUUGUUAAAUAUAGUUCCUAGUGACAUAGAAACGAUGCGUAGUUUUCAUUUACUAAUUACAAAUGUUGAGGCCUAAUUCUGAAAGUCCUCAUAUUUAAAGGCUAGACAACGUAAUGAAAUUUUUAACUAUUUGUAUGUCAUUUUGAAAGUGUACUGCUUUAUGGUAAAAGUGUUUUUCAUUUGUUCAUUGUUUUCAUUAUUUGUGAUCAUGUUGUCUUUCAAUACAGGCAUAAACCUUCCACUCUUGAACAAAGCAGCUGCUUUUUAAAAGCGAGAAAAAGGAAAACGGGGCACAGGCCAUUCGACGCCUUCUCCAAGGGGUCUGAUUUGCUGAGACACCAGCUUCACCUUCUUAACAAGGUUAUUUCUGACAGCAUGUGUAGAUAAACAUUUAGCAACAAUUUAAGACAAAAUCGUGUAAAUCAGCUUGGUUUUGCAACACAAAGGAAUUUGUAUUAUUAACAUGGUAGAAGAGAAUUUUUCAGAAAUAUAUGUGAUCUUUGCUGUUUGGGGGGUAAAAUUAAUGCUUGUCUCCCAGAGAAAUAUGGAAAAUAAUCAGAUUUUAGGGGUUUAAAUAAUAUUUUUAAAUUGUAAAUGGGAUUUUUUUAUUCACCCAGGCACCUAAUUACAACAAGCAUGCACAUUUUGGUGCAUUCAAGAAUGGAAAAUCAGAAUAGCAGCAUUGAUUCUUCUGGUGGGUUUUGCUCCAUUUAAAGACAUGAAAUGAACUACAGCCAGGAAGGUGAUAGAUGAUAUAAUAAGCCACCUCUGAACCUACACCCCGUCUCUUCACGGUUUAGACUUACUAAAAUAAAUACAAGGUGAUUUUCAUCUUCAGGUAGAGUGAAGCCUUUUAACUAAGGCGUCACAGGUGCAGCUAUUCUACCUUAAUGAAAUGGGUAGUGAUUUUCCCACCAUUAUUUAUUUCGGUGAUAAUAUGCUGCAUAUUCAAGUCUUUUGUAGUUAUUUUCACCCAAAGUAGUUGACAAUUUGAUGCUUCUGGUGAUGUUUAUGGCUUCAUUUUAUGUAAUUUUUUAAGUAAGUUCCACUAGAAACAGUUCAUCUUAUACCUUCAAAACUAUUACCUGUUCUUUAAAAAACAAAGUUGCUUGUUACUUGUUCUUUGUGUUUUAGGUGCAGCUCAGUGGAAGAUGAUGACAACCAGAAGACAUGAGCUAAGGUUUCUGUCCUAUAAAAGAUUUAUUAAAAAACAAUCCCUCAUUUAUUUUUUGUCUAAUUUUUUAGUUUUCAGCAUUAUGAUUUGGGUUUUAUUGGUGUUUGGUAUUUAGAAUUAGUGCUAUUGUGGUGUGCGUCUGUAAAGUGCUUGUUUUAUCAUACUUCCUGCCUCUCCCCCUCCCCCAGUUUCUCCUCCCCUAAAAUAAAAAUAGUGGUCAACUUUAGUAAUAUAAAAGGCUGCUGGAUGCUGAGAUUCCACAUAACACAUGGUUGUCAAAAUUGGAUGUUAAUGAUUCUUAGAAAAACAGCAACCACCAGAAUAGCAUAUAUCUAAAAGUGGUCUUCAGCUUUAGGCAGAUGCAAAAGAAUACAAACUGGAAUAUUCAGAAUACUGUUCAACUCCUUUAGUAUCUAUUCCCCAACUUACCCUUUAGAAACCUCGUUAUUAACCAGUGUUCCAGUCUUAAAGUAGACAAAAUAUUCAGAGCCAUUUUUUUUAAGGGAAAUGAAAAAGAUACUCUGGGUUUUUUAUGCUCCCCAAUGUAGCAUAUCUAGACUGCCUAUUUGAAAGAAACCCUAUCAACUGUCUUAUGUACGUUACAUGAUUUUCUUACACUCUGUAAUUUUGCUGAGGUGCAAUUUGGAACUCUGCAAGACCUACUAGAUUGAAUUUAUUUAGUGAAUGCUCCUUAAUAAAUUUGCAUUCCUCUUUUAGAGUAGCUGUAUAGUUUCCAGUGCUAUCUGCCAUGAAUUUUUUGCUUUUAUUAUACUUUAUGGCAAAAGUGAUAUCAAGUGAUUGUCAGACUUGAGGGCUCAUAGAAGUGUUAGGUAUGGCUCUCAAAGAUGUUACAGUUUUUUCUAGGGUUGGGAGAAUAGUUGAGAUCUGGAAAGCAUAGACAUUUUUUACACUCUGGAUAGACUUUAUUCUUGAAGGUCAUCAGAAAUGAGGUUGGAAUUUCGAGGUUUUGAGCAGGGGGAGGAUCUUAUAUUCACCCUUAAAUCGUUAUUAAUACAUCCCGUUUUCUUCAUUCCCUGAUAGCUAUCUCAUUUCACUCUACUUUCUCAAAAUUUUGUUUUAAAAUAAUAGAAAUGUUUUGCCAUUAUUAAGUACCACUUUAUUCCUAACAAAAAUAAGUACUCAGGACUUUUUUUUCAAUAUGAAAUAUUUAUGUACUGUUUUAUGGUAUGUGGUAGAGGAAGUAAAAUGUGAUGUUCUCAGUUUUGUUCCAUAUUUGCAUUCCUCUUAUGCUUUACCUGUAUUUUAUCAUUUGUAAGCAGAAUUCUAGCUAUAUGGGGUAGAAAUAAAAUCUCUGAGAUGAAACAAAGGAAUCAGCAUGAUAAAAUUUAGGCGAAGUAGUUAAGAAAUGGCCCUUUUGAAUGUUGAAGAUAGGAAAGAAGCCAUAUAUUCAAAUAUGUAAUUUUCCUCCUUUAGUUAUAAUGACAUCUUUGCCAAUUGGGCUUCAUAAAUGUGUUUCUUUCUUAAUAGUAUCCUAGUUCCAGCAUAUAUUCAACAUGAAUUUUAUCAUUCUCCUAAUGGAAUGUCUUCCUUAUAGAAAUGUUCACGACAAAUUCAUUUGUGUUUUUUACAUGUCAAUAAUGUAUGCUAAAUUAAAAUGUUUUCCAGUUAUUCUGAUAGAUGUCAUUAUGGCAUCCUUAAUUUUUCUUCUCCUUCUGUAUAUAGGGUAAGGGACUGUUCUGAAGAACCUUUCCAUUUAGUGAUCAAGAUAUGGAAGCUGAUUUCUGAAAAUGCUCAGUGUGUACUCUAAUUAUUUAUGGUACCAUUUGAAUUGUAACUUGCAUUUUAGCAGUGCAUGUUUCUAAUUGACUUACUGGGAAACUGAAUAAAAUAUGCCUCUUAUUAUCA